rnacentral:rRNA from 1 species
UAGGGAAUCUUCCACAAUGGACGCAAGUCUGAUGGAGCAACGCCGCGUGAGUGAAGAAGGCUUUCGGGUCGUAAAACUCUGUUGUUGGAGAAGAAUGGUCGGCAGAGUAACUGUUGUCGGCGUGACGGUAUCCAACCAGAAAGCCACGGCUAACUACGUGCCAGCAGCCGCGGUAAUACGUAGGUGGCAAGCGUUAUCCGGAUUUAUUGGGCGUAAAGCGAGCGCAGGCGGUUUUUUCAAGUCUGAUGUGAAAGCCCUCGGCUUA